UCGGUGACGCGUUCCCCGCCAGUUCUCACAGCUCGCCGUCGGAUGCCUCACUAAAAUUUAAAUUUUCUGAACUUUCAUUACUAGUUUUUGCUCAAAUGGCGUGUAAUCGGCUGUGUUACUUCUGCCCUUUCCAUUUUGAUUGUUAGCGACUUGUAUGCUUUGGAUUUGUUGUGUAUUGGCAUUCUGAGUAGAUUCUCGAUAUCUUCGAAUCCAUUUGGGCAUAUAUGAUAUAGAGGCAACCUAUUUAAUUCCUCUGAGAACGUGAGAUUUUGAACAUUGGCCAGCUUCGAUACGGAUUGAAUGAUUAGCCAAGGCGACUAUAACCGUAACAGUGCUUCUGAUCAAGAGAGAGAACACAGACCUGCUGCUUGUUGGAGACCUUUUGGCAGUACACUGCGGCGUUAUAAUUAACGAGGGCAUGGGGUCUAAAUAUAUUUGGUGAAUAUCUUUGCUUGAGAAUGGCCAAAUUUUCAAUCAGCAAUACCAAUUAUACUUACUUGCAUGACCAGAAUGAUCCUUCUGAGGCAAUUGACGUACACCAUAUAAUGGUUAAAAGGAGUGGCGCAAAAGCUCUCUUUGUUUACAUCUCAGCGCUUGUUCUAUUAGCAUCUGCCUUCUAUUUCUACGCUUAUGGGGGGAAGUCGAUUAUCCUUGUCUGUUACAGCUUGCUUUUCAACUUAAUAUUUGUCAAGAUCUUACUUUGGAGGCCUGUUGUGAAAGAGUCUGUUGUGAUAAUGCCAGCUUUUGGAGUACAGAUUGAGACUCACUACAUGAGUGGAAAAGUCACCCGCCACUUUGUUCCCAUUGACAAGAUUCUGAAACCUGUUUUACUGGAAUGUGUGACACCAAUAACAUGUUACUGGACUCUAUCCUUGAUUGUUCGCGAGGAACAAGAACUAAUGUUGAUUUUUAAGAACUUGCGUCCACCGGUGAAAAUGUUGGUCCAUGUCUGGAAGGCCUUGUGUGCUGGGACUGAUAGCAAAAGAGGCUUGGACAAAAGUGCUGUUGAGAGUUAACUUGUUUAUGAUGAUACUGGUUUUAGAUUCUUGAAAUAUCUCAUAUUAACAUUUUGAGAUGUAUAUACACAUUCAAGGCCAUACUAAUUGUUUGCGAGAAGACAUUUGCUUUCCACAUCUGAAGCUUUGCGUCAAUCUUUUCAAUCAUUUGUUUGCUCCUUCCAACAUCUGCCCCUAUUCUAAGAAUUGAAGACUGCUUUCAAGCAGUUUAAUUCAUUCAUUUAAAUCCCCUAUCAGAAGCCAUUGUCCAGAGAACAAGCUGUUUCAUAUGAUUUCUUGUUGACCACUUGGUCGCUUUGAAGGAAUCCGUAAAUAAAAAUUAUGAAGAAAAGAUAUGACAAGACAUCUUGACAUUUCACUUCCAUCCAUUUUCUUGAUCUGUCAAGAAUUUCAUAAUUUCAUUCAUCCUUCCAAGCCAUACUGAGAUCAUCUUCAUGAAUCAAGAGUGUUUAACUUCUCUUUUGUUGCCAACGUUGAAAGUCUAGUUUCAUAGAGGAAAAUCAAACUAGCAACUGUUUUUUAGAUGAAGCGCCAAUGUCUCUCCUAAUCCUCAGCAGUUCCUAGUUGAAACCAUUUUAUGGUACGUGGGAAAACUUGGGUACUGAGAUCCAUGACCAUGUCUUCAAUAAUGCUAGCUAGAGUGGUUUCUAGUAAAGCAUAUAUUGUUCGAAGGGGUGGGAUAUAGAGAAUCAUUACUUUUGUGGCUUUUGGUUGGAAUAGACAUUGAAACCUAUGCCACUAUUUGAAAACUGGGGAUAGGUCUGAGUUGUCUUAUGCUUCCAAGCACUCUUAGGAACUGGGCCAUUCACAAAAGGGUAAAAAGGUCUCUAACAGUGUUUUGCAGGAAAUUAGAAUCCUAUUGAACAAAGUGGAUACCAUGGAUAUUUAUGACCAGUAUUUAGCAGUAGAGAGGAAAGGCUUGUGGAGGAGGAGAGUGAUGCAGUCAUGGUGGUCCGUUUGGAUCAAGGAGUUUGGAACUAUGAGGGAGAAGACGCGUCUUGAUUGGUGCCUUGUAAUUGUAUAAUAAGGUUAUUUGUACGAAUCUUUUGUAAGUGGUGGCACAAUUCAAUAUUCAAAGCAGCUUUGAGGAAA